CCGACCUUAGCUCAGUUGGUAGAGCGGAGGACUGUAGUUGGUGCAGACAAUCCUUAGGUCGCUGGUUCGAAUCCGGCAGGUCGGA
rnacentral:tRNA from 1 species